UACGUAGGGGGCGAGCGUUGUCCGGAUUCAUUGGGCGUAAAGAGCUCGUAGGCGGUUUAGCAAGUCGGGUGUGAAAUCUCCAGGCUCAACCUGGAGCGGCCAUUCGAUACUGCUAUGACUAGAGUCCAGUAGGGGAGUGUGGAAUUCCCGGUGUAGCGGUGAAAUGCGCAGAUAUCGGGAGGAACACCGGCGGCGAAGGCGGCACUCUGGGCUGGUACUGACGCUGAGGAGCGAAAGCGUGGGGAGCAAACAGG
rnacentral:rRNA from 1 species